GAUGAACGCUAGCGGGAGGCUUAACACAUGCAAGUCGAGCGGCAGCCCCGAGCAAUCGGGGUGAGAGCGGCGCACGGGUGAGUAACGCGUAUGCAACCUACCCUUUACAGGGGGAUAGCCCGUCGAAAGGCGGAUUAAUACCCCAUGGCACUAUUUUGUCGCAUGGCAGAAUGGUUAAAGUACCAACGGUAAAGGAUGGGCAUGCGUGACAUUAGUUGUUGGCGGGGUAACGGCCCACCAAGACUACGAUGUCUAGGGGUUCUGAGAGGAUGAUCCCCCACACUGGUACUGAGACACGGACCAGACUCCUACGGGUGGCUG
rnacentral:rRNA from 1 species